rnacentral:rRNA from 1 species
UACGAAGGGGGCUAGCGUUGCUCGGAAUUACUGGGCGUAAAGCGCACGUAGGCGGUCUUUUAAGUCGGGGGUGAAAUCCUGGAGCUCAACUCCAGAACUGCCUUCGAUACUGGAAGACUUGAGUCCGGGAGAGGUGAGUGGAACUGCGAGUGUAGAGGUGAAAUUCGUAGAUAUUCGCAAGAACACCAGUGGCGAAGGCGGCUCACUGGCCCGGUAUUGACGCUGAGGUGCGAAAGCGUGGGGAGCAAACAGG